rnacentral:rRNA from 1 species
UACGAAGGGGGCGAGCGUUGUUCGGAUUUACUGGGCGUAAAGGGCGCGCAGGCGGCUAUCCAAGUCAGGCGUGAAAGCCCCGGGCUUAACCUGGGAGGUGCGUCUGGGACUGGGUGGCUAGAGUUCGGGAGAGGAGAGUGGAAUUCCCAGUGUAGAGGUGAAAUUCGUAGAUAUUGGGAAGAACACCCGUGGCGAAGGCGGCUCUCUGGGACGGUACUGACGCUGAGACGCGAAAGCGUGGGGAGCGAACAGG